rnacentral:rRNA from 1 species
CUAGUGACCGAUAGUGAACCAGUACCGUGAGGGAAAGGUGAAAAGCACCCCGGAAGGGGAGUGAAAUAGAACCUGAAACCGUGUGCUUACAAGUAGUCAGAGCCCGUUAAUGGGUGAUGGCGUGCCUUUUGUAGAAUGAACCGGCGAGUUACGAUUUGAUGCAAGGUUAAGCAGUAAAUGUGGAGCCGUAGCGAAAGCGAGUCUGAAUAGGGCGUUUAGUAUUUGGUCGUAGACCCGAAACCAGGUGAUCUACCCUUGGUCAGGUUGAAGUUCAGGUAACACUGAAUGGAGGACCGAACCGACUUACGUUGAAAAGUGAGCGGAUGAACUGAGGGUAGCGGAGAAAUUCCAAUCGAACCUGGAGAUAGCUGGUUCUCUCCGAAAUAGCUUUAGGGCUAGCCUCAAGUGAUGAUUAUUGGAGGUAGAGCACUGUUUGGACGAGGGGCCCCUCUCGGGUUACCGAAUUCAGACAAACUCCGAAUGCCAAUUAAUUUAACUUGGGAGUCAGAACAUGGGUGAUAAGGUCCGUGUUCGAAAGGGAAACAGCCCAGACCACCAGCUAAGGUCCCAAAAUAUAUGUUAAGUGGAAAAGGAUGUGGCGUUGCCCAGACAACUAGGAUGUUGGCUUAGAAGCAGCCAUCAUUUAAAGAGUGCGUAAUAGCUCACUAGUCGAGUGACACUGCGCCGAAAAUGUACCGGGGCUAAACAUAUUACCGAAGCUGUGGAUUGUCCUUUGGACAAUGGUAGGAGAGCGUUCUAAGGGCGUUGAAGCAUGAUCGUAAGGACAUGUGGAGCGCUUAGAAGUGAGAAUGCCGGUGUGAGUAGCGAAAGACGGGUGAGAAUCCCGUCCACCGAUUGACUAAGGUUUCCAGAGGA